ensembl:lncRNA
GCAAAAGCAAGGAGAGAGGGCUGGCAGAAAGUUGCUGACAAAUCAAACUCGUAGGUAAUUUAAUAAUAAUAAUAAUAAUGGAUUGGAUUUAUAUAGCGCUUUCCAAGGCACCCAAAGCGCUUUACGAUACCACUAUUCAUUCACUCCCACAUUCACACACUGGUGGAGGCAGCUACGGUUGUAGCCAGGCUGCCAUAUCGCGCCAUCGGCCCCUCUGGCCAACACCAGUAGGCGAGCCACAACAGGACCCACAAGAACAUGGGAACAAGUAAAAGUGGAAUACAGGAGUAUUCUACAGAAUGCAACCAAGAAAAGGGCAGAGGAAAAAAAGACAGGUGGUGGUCCUGCACCCCCUCGUCAACAAGUUGGUUAAGUAAAUAAUACCCUCACGGGAAAAUCGAUAUCUCUCUAUGAGCACACUGUCGCGCUGAGCUAAAGGAUCC